UUAAUUUCUUUGAUCAGGAUUAGUAGCUAUAAAUCUAGUCACAGAGAGUUGAGGAUGGUGGAAUCUCAAUACAAUGUUUUAUUGUGAAUGGCCCUGUUAGAAGUAAACCGAAAUUCAUUUUUUAUGAAGAGUAGUAUUUACCGUGUUGGCACGUUAUAGCCAUAGGAUAUUUUUGUAUCUGAAAUGAGAUAUACUAUUUGUUGUAUUUUCAAUUAUUUUAAUAGUAUAAUUUAGGUGGCAACGCGAAUUAAUACUUCGCCCUAUUG
rnacentral:ncRNA from 1 species